rnacentral:misc_RNA from 1 species
AUGGGGACAACGUGCUCUGGUUACUAAUAUUUCCGAUUUAAUUAGAAAAUCAGUUUUUUUUUUCCUCUAAUGUUAAUGGAAUUGCUGAAGGUAGUUUAACAAACAGGAGGCUUUCUUCUUCUUCUGUUAACAGUUAGUUGACUUCUCCUUGUUCAUUGAUCUUAGUUUUAUUUUCAUUUAUGUAUUUACUAUCUAGUUUUUGACGGUGUAGUCUAAUUUUGCUCUUACUUCUGCCUGCUAGGAGUGCGGAUACUAUUAAUUACAUUGGCACAUCCGUGCUCCUGUUUCUUGUGGUAUCUUUGGUGUAUCUGUUCUUUUAUGUUUUUGUAUCUUUUCUGAACCGUGAUGCUUUUGUUUCUUAAGGUUCCAUAGCUGCUUUCACCUGUGCUUUUGAAAUUUUUCUGGUACUGGAAUUAAUUGUUCUGCUG